CCUACGGGUGGCUGCAGUGGGGAAUAUUGCGCAAUGGGCGAAAGCCUGACGCAGCGACGCCGCGUGAGGGAUGAAGGUCUUCGGAUCGUAAACCACUGUCAGCAGGGAAGAACGGUCACUGUGCUAAUCAGCCGUGAAUUGACGGUACCUGCAAAGGAAGCACCGGCUAACUCCGUGCCAGCAGCCGCGGUAAUACGGAGGGUGCGAGCGUUAAUCGGAAUUACUGGGCGUAAAGCGCUCGUAGGCGGUAUGUCAAGUCAAGGGUGAAAUCCCCGGGCUCAACGUGGGAACUGCCUUUGAAACUGGCAAACUUGAGUGUGGGAGAGGAGAGUGGAAUUCCAGGUGUAGGAGUGAAAUCCGUAGAGAUCUGGAGGAACAUCAGUGGCGAAGGCGACUAUCUGGCACAUAACUGACGCUGAGGAGCGAAAGCGUGGGUAGCAAACAGGAUUAGAUACCCUGGUAGUC
rnacentral:rRNA from 1 species